rnacentral:tRNA from 1 species
GGGGAUGUAGCUCAGCUGGGAGAGCAUCUGAUUUGCAUUCAGAAGGUCGCAGGUUCGAUCCCUGUCAUCUCCA